GGGUUGUGAGGUUAAGCGACUAAGCGUACACGGUGGAUGCCCUGGCAGUCAGAGGCGAUGAAGGACGUGCUAAUCUGCGAUAAGCGUCGGUGAGGUGAUAUGAACCGUUAUAACCGGCGAUUUCCGAAUGGGGAAACCCAGUGUGUUUCGACACACUAUCAUUAACUGAAUCCAUAGGUUAAUGAGGCGAACCGGGGGAACUGAAACAUCUAAGUACCCCGAGGAAAAGAAAUCAACCGAGAUUCCCCCAGUAGCGGCGAGCGAACGGGGAGGAGCCCAGAGCCUGAAUCAGUGUGUGUGUUAGUGGAAGCGUCUGGAAAGGCGCGCGAUACAGGGUGACAGCCCCGUACACAAAAAUGCACAUAUUGUGAGCUCGAUGAGUAGGGCGGGACACGUGGUAUCCUGUCUGAAUAUGGGGGGACCAUCCUCCAAGGCUAAAUACUCCUGACUGACCGAUAGUGAACCAGUACCGUGAGGGAAAGGCGAAAAGAACCCCGGCGAGGGGAGUGAAAAAGAACCUGAAACCGUGUACGUACAAGCAGUGGGAGCCUCUUAAUGGGGUGACUGCGUACCUUUUGUAUAAUGGGUCAGCGACUUAUAUUCUGUAGCAAGGUUAACCGAAUAGGGGAGCCGAAGGGAAACCGAGUCUUAACUGGGCGUUAAGUUGCAGGGUAUAGACCCGAAACCCGGUGAUCUAGCCAUGGGCAGGUUGAAGGUUGGGUAACACUAACUGGAGGACCGAACCGACUAAUGUUGAAAAAUUAGCGGAUGACUUGUGGCUGGGGGUGAAAGGCCAAUCAAACCGGGAGAUAGCUGGUUCUCCCCGAAAGCUAUUUAGGUAGCGCCUCGUGAAUUCAUCUCCGGGGGUAGAGCACUGUUUCGGCAAGGGGGUCAUCCCGACUUACCAACCCGAUGCAAACUGCGAAUACCGGAGAAUGUUAUCACGGGAGACACACGGCGGGUGCUAACGUCCGUCGUGAAGAGGGAAACAACCCAGACCGCCAGCUAAGGUCCCAAAGUCAUGGUUAAGUGGGAAACGAUGUGGGAAGGCCCAGACAGCCAGGAUGUUGGCUUAGAAGCAGCCAUCAUUUAAAGAAAGCGUAAUAGCUCACUGGUCGAGUCGGCCUGCGCGGAAGAUGUAACGGGGCUAAACCAUGCACCGAAGCUGCGGCAGCGACGCUUAUGCGUUGUUGGGUAGGGGAGCGUUCUGUAAGCCUGCGAAGGUGUGCUGUGAGGCAUGCUGGAGGUAUCAGAAGUGCGAAUGCUGACAUAAGUAACGAUAAAGCGGGUGAAAAGCCCGCUCGCCGGAAGACCAAGGGUUCCUGUCCAACGUUAAUCGGGGCAGGGUGAGUCGACCCCUAAGGCGAGGCCGAAAGGCGUAGUCGAUGGGAAACAGGUUAAUAUUCCUGUACUUGGUGUUACUGCGAAGGGGGGACGGAGAAGGCUAUGUUGGCCGGGCGACGGUUGUCCCGGUUUAAGCGUGUAGGCUGGUUUUCCAGGCAAAUCCGGAAAACCAAGGCUGAGGCGUGAUGACGAGGCACUACGGUGCUGAAGUGACAAAUGCCCUGCUUCCAGGAAAAGCCUCUAAGCAUCAGGUAACAUCAAAUCGUACCCCAAACCGACACAGGUGGUCAGGUAGAGAAUACCAAGGCGCUUGAGAGAACUCGGGUGAAGGAACUAGGCAAAAUGGUGCCGUAACUUCGGGAGAAGGCACGCUGAUAUGUAGGUGAAACGACUUGCUCGUGGAGCUGAAAUCAGUCGAAGAUACCAGCUGGCUGCAACUGUUUAUUAAAAACACAGCACUGUGCAAACACGAAAGUGGACGUAUACGGUGUGACGCCUGCCCGGUGCCGGAAGGUUAAUUGAUGGGGUUAGCGGUAACGCGAAGCUCUUGAUCGAAGCCCCGGUAAACGGCGGCCGUAACUAUAACGGUCCUAAGGUAGCGAAAUUCCUUGUCGGGUAAGUUCCGACCUGCACGAAUGGCGUAAUGAUGGCCAGGCUGUCUCCACCCGAGACUCAGUGAAAUUGAACUCGCUGUGAAGAUGCAGUGUACCCGCGGCAAGACGGAAAGACCCCGUGAACCUUUACUAUAGCUUGACACUGAACAUUGAGCCUUGAUGUGUAGGAUAGGUGGGAGGCUUUGAAGUGUGGACGCCAGUCUGCAUGGAGCCGACCUUGAAAUACCACCCUUUAAUGUUUGAUGUUCUAACGUUGGCCCGUAAUCCGGGUUGCGGACAGUGUCUGGUGGGUAGUUUGACUGGGGCGGUCUCCUCCUAAAGAGUAACGGAGGAGCACGAAGGUUGGCUAAUCCUGGUCGGACAUCAGGAGGUUAGUGCAAUGGCAUAAGCCAGCUUGACUGCGAGCGUGACGGCGCGAGCAGGUGCGAAAGCAGGUCAUAGUGAUCCGGUGGUUCUGAAUGGAAGGGCCAUCGCUCAACGGAUAAAAGGUACUCCGGGGAUAACAGGCUGAUACCGCCCAAGAGUUCAUAUCGACGGCGGUGUUUGGCACCUCGAUGUCGGCUCAUCACAUCCUGGGGCUGAAGUAGGUCCCAAGGGUAUGGCUGUUCGCCAUUUAAAGUGGUACGCGAGCUGGGUUUAGAACGUCGUGAGACAGUUCGGUCCCUAUCUGCCGUGGGCGCUGGAGAACUGAGGGGGGCUGCUCCUAGUACGAGAGGACCGGAGUGGACGCAUCACUGGUGUUCGGGUUGUCAUGCCAAUGGCACUGCCCGGUAGCUAAAUGCGGAAGAGAUAAGUGCUGAAAGCAUCUAAGCACGAAACUUGCCCCGAGAUGAGUUCUCCCUGAGACUUUAAGUCUCCUGAAGGAACGUUGAAGACGACGACGUUGAUAGGCCGGGUGUGUAAGCGCAGCGAUGCGUUGAGCUAACCGGUACUAAUGAACCGUGAGGCUUAACCUUACAACGCCGAAG
rnacentral:rRNA from 1 species